rnacentral:tRNA from 1 species
GCGGGUGUAGCUCAGGGGUAGAGCGUCUGCCUUCCAAGUAGAAUGCCGUGGGUUCGAAUCCCAUCACCCGCUCCU